rnacentral:rRNA from 1 species
AUUGAACGCUGGCGGAAUGCUUUACACAUGCAAGUCGAGCGGCAGCACGGGGGCAACCCUGGUGGCGAGCGGCGAACGGGUGAGUAAUACAUCGGAACAUGCCCAGUCGUGGGGGAUAACACUUCGAAAGAAGUGCUAAUACCGCAUACGUCCUGAGGGGGAAAGCGGGGGAUCGCAAGACCUCGCGCGAUUGGAGUGGCCGAUGUCAGAUUAGCUAGUUGGUGGGGUAAAGGCCUACCAAGGCAACGAUCUGUAGCUGGUCUGAGAGGAUGAUCAGCCACACUGGGACUGAGACACGGCCCAGACUCCUACGGGAGGCCGCAGUGGGGAAUUUUGGACAAUGGGGGCAACCCUGAUCCAGCCAUUCCGCGUGAGUGAAGAAGGCCUUCGGGUUGUAAAGCUCUUUCGGCAGGAACGAAACGGUGAGCUCUAACAUAGCUUGCUAAUGACGGUACCUGAAGAAGAAGCACCGGCUAACUACGUG